GAAAAAAAAAAAAAAAAACCAAAAACACAUAAAAGCAAACAAAAGGAAAAAAAGAUAGCUAAGAUGCAGUUUUUUUUCUCUUUGGCCAUCUUCGCCAUCAUUUUU
rnacentral:ribozyme from 1 species